UUAUUAAAGCUGUUUCUCACUUUAUCAAACGUCUGGCAGCCACUUUUGUUUAAAGCAAUACAUGUAUCUUACUUACUUGGACUUACCUCUCCCGCGCCAUUCGGCGCAUUGGGCGGCAAGCAAGUUUGCCGUUUCUGUAGCAUUAGUGGUUUAGCAGGGUGGGGUCGCUAGCCCCACGCCAAACCCUCCUCCUUUCUCACCCGGGCUUGGGACCGGCAUGUAUCACCAAUUUUAAUCCAGUUUUAAAUUUGUAUUGUUUUUUUUGCAAUAAACUUAGAGGAGUAUAAGCCAACUACUAUUUAAAAUGAUUUAUCAAAAGGAGAAACGUACUUUAAUCUGAGGUCUAUCUAAUUACUGGCUAGACUUGGUAAAAAGCUCCAAAGAAACAAGGGUAUAUGAGAACAUUUGUUUUAUAAAAAUAAUGGUUUUAAUAACAUUAAUUUACACACAAUGUUUUACGAUCAUGCUUAAAGGGUAGUGGCGUCACUAAGGUUGGUAUCACCCGGUGCGGUUAGCUCAGGGUCACUCCCCCCCCCCUUUCAAUCAACGUUCGUCUCCAAAUUUUCCAAUAAAAACUAGCGAUAGUUUUUAUUAAUUAUAUUUAGUUGAGCCCUAAUAAAGUCAGACAAUUAAAAACAUUUAUUGUAACAAUUCUGUAAAAU